UGGGGAAUAUUGGACAAUGGGCGCAAGCCUGAUCCAGCCAUGCCGCGUGAGUGAUGAAGGCCUUAGGGUUGUAAAGCUCUUUUAGCGGGGAAGAUAAUGACGGUACCCGCAGAAAAAGCCCCGGCUAACUUCGUGCCAGCAGCCGCGGUAACACGAAGGGGGCUAGCGUUGCUCGGAAUUACUGGGCGUAAAGCGCACGUAGGCGGACUCUUAAGUCGGUGGUGAAAUCCUGGAGCUCAACUCCAGAACUGCCUUCGAUACUGGGAGUCUUGAGUUCGGUAGAGGUGAGGGGAACGGCGAGUGUAGAGGUGAAAUUCGUAGAUAUUCGCAAGAACACCAGUGGCGAAGGCGGCUCACUGGCCCGAUACUGACGCUGAGGUGCGAAAGCGUGGGGAGCAAACA
rnacentral:rRNA from 1 species